UACGUAGGGGGCGAGCGUUGUCCGGAAUUAUUGGGCGUAAAGGGCUCGUAGGCGGUUUGUCGCGUCGGGAGUGAAAAUCCAGGGCUUAACUCUGGACUGGCUUUCGAUACGGGCAGACUAGAGGUAUGCAGGGGAGACUGGAAUUCCUGGUGUAGCGGUGAAAUGCGCAGAUAUCAGGAGGAACACCGGUGGCGAAGGCGGCUCUCUGGGCAGUAACUGACGCUGAGGAGCGAAAGCGUGGGUAGCGAACAGG
rnacentral:rRNA from 1 species